rnacentral:lncRNA from 1 species
UGAUAGGAUCUCAUUCUGUCACCCAGUCUGGGGUGCAAUGGCAUGACCUUGGCUCACUGCAGCCUGGAUCUCCCAGGCUCAAUCAAUCCUCUUGCCUCAGCCUCCUGAGUAGCUUGAACUACAGGUGAGGAUGCUAUGAAAACCCCUUGGGAAAACAAAGGCACCUUGGGGGCCAUUGAGAACUCCUGACGAAGAGGGCUCAGCUGCCAGACCUGUUCGAAAAAGACCUCAGAAAUCUCUAGGGGGCUGUCAGAAGAAAGGUUUGAAAAGGGUCUGGGGAGACUGAAAUUUGUCUGCCUUGGACUUUUCUUUUGACAAUUCACAUCCAUCUUAAGCAGAAUCAUUGUUUAUUCUUAUUAUGCCAGGUUUCCUUUUCUGGUCUGCAGGUUCUCUAGGGUUUCAUAGGCUAGUAGUUGGAAUUUUCAAAUUUCAAAAGCAUUGGGGAUUUUGCAAAAACAAAAUCUAAAGGAUACUCAGCAGCACAGUUUACUUAGGAGAUUUUAAUCAUGAUAAUCUGCAUAAUGUAUGAGAAUUUCUACCUCAGCUGCCUCCUUUCUUUCUCUUUCGUGUCUGGGAAAAAGCCAGGGAUUUUUCCCUUCCUCUGAUUUAAAUACCUUAUAAAAUUUUGGUGGAAGUGUUUUGUCCUAUUCUGUAUUCCCGAUUCAUUUUCUGCUGUAAUGAGCGAAAUUAAUUUGCAAGAGCUGCUACUGACAUAGUGUAAUAAACUGGGUCAUAGGUAGAAUCAGUGCCGCCUUAUGACCCUUAGCUGUCAUUGCUUCAAGGAGUUUGGCAUGGUCCUCGAAGGCCAGAAGGCAAUGUGGGUUGCAUCCUACAGCUUUUGAGAUCUCAGAGACUUACUGCACCCAUGGCUGGGAAUGAACUGUAAAUGCUGACACUGGUAACUAGGUGCCAAACUAAAGUGAUCACGACCUAAUCUGAGCCAAAAGGCAUUUCUUUGCAUCAGGCAUAAAGCAAUAUCAAACUCCCAUAACCCACACACAACACAGAAAUCGUUACUGAAGAGAUUCAACAUUAUCAUGCCAGACACUGAGUUAUUUCUCUCCUUCCCUGUCUCACCACAGUUUCCUCCCGCUUGGUCACACAUGGUAAGGAUUCAUGUGUGCGAAGGCAUUUUAUUCCUUCGACCUAACCCCGACCACAGUCCCCUAGUUUCAUCAGAGAUCUGCCCUCCCCACCGUUUGAGUAUGAUGGAGUGCAUAUUUCCAAUGUAAAAAGACUGAUACCAUUAUGAUUUUCAUUAACUUGUUGCCAGCUUGCAUUCUUUUUUCUCCCUUUUUUUCUCUCUCAACAGCACUUCCGUCCUCAGCCCAACCCCAGCCAGAAAAGGUGUUGCUACAUUCAGUGAAAAAUUAUUAUUAGUAUAGACAUGAAAUUUGAUGAUAAUGUAGAUUGUUUUGUGUCAUCUGCAGGCUGUUACAAUACACUCUGCAUCACUGAAAUGUGUUGACCAGAAGGAUGAUGGUGUUGUCAUGACACUGAGGUCUUUUAAUUACUUUGCGACUUUCAUAGCAUUUAGAAAAUGGAGAACAGGGUAUUUUCUUGAACAGCCUAGCCAAAUGAAAAACUGGUUACUAAUGUAUGUUAUCUUCAUCAAUGAAGGCAUAAAAUAAUACAAACAAAUUAAAAAUUAUUAAUAAAUUAAUAA